UAGGGAAUCUUCCGCAAUGGACGCAAGUCUGACGGAGCAACGCCGCGUGAGUGAAGAAGGAUUUCGGUUCGUAAAACUCUGUUGUUAGAGAAGAACAGCGCAUAGAGUAACUGUUAUGCGUGUGACGGUAUCUAACCAGAAAGCCACGGCUAACUACGUGCCAGCAGCCGCGGUAAUACGUAGGUGGCAAGCGUUGUCCGGAUUUAUUGGGCGUAAAGCGAGCGCAGGCGGUCAAUUAAGUCUGAUGUGAAAGCCCCCGGCUCAACCGGGGAGGGUCAUUGGAAACUGGUUGACUUGAGUGCAGAAGAGGAGAGUGGACUUCCAUGUGUAGCGGUGAAAUGCGUAGAUAUAUGGAGGAACACCAGUGGCGAAGGCGACUCUCUGGUCUGUAACUGACGCUGAGGCUCGAAAGCGUGGGUAGCAAACAGG
rnacentral:rRNA from 1 species